rnacentral:tRNA from 1 species
GCGGGGGUAGCGAAGCCUGGUCAAACGCGCAGGACUCAGAAUCCUGUUCCUUAGUGGAUCCGGGGGUUCAAAUCCCCUCCCCCGCA